UGGGUAACCUGCCUCAAAGAGGGGAAUAGCCUCCCGAAAGGGAGAUUAAUACCGCAUAAUAUGUUUAAGUCGCAUGACUUUAACAUCAAAGGAUUUUCUUUUAGAAAUUCCACUUUGAGAUGGACCCGCGGCGCAUUAGCUAGUUGGUGAGGUAACGGCUCACCAAGGCGACGACGGGUAGCUGGUCUGAGAGGAUGGCCAGCCACAUUGGGACUGAGACACGGCCCAGACUCCUAGGAG
rnacentral:rRNA from 1 species